rnacentral:lncRNA from 1 species
AGGUGGGGAUGCGACACAUUAAUGACUAUGUAUCCUAUGUCUGGGUCGGUGACAACCAAGUCUCCCGUGGUAACAACCCAAACCAGGUGUAUAUCAACAUCAGUGCUAUCCCUGACACGGAGGAGCAGUUUCUUCUCUGUUACUAUAGCAACAACCUGCACUCUAUAGUGGGGAUAAGUCAACCCUUCAAGAUCCCGUCCGGCUUCUUUUUGAGAGAGGACACACUGUCUGAGCUUGAACCACAGCUCUGAGCCCAGAUGGGAGUGAAUGAAUCCAGGGCGGAGGCUAGAGCUGGAAGCCAGCUGUGCUUCAGCACUGCCAGCAGCGCUGGGUCUGGCCCAGCCCCUGAGGAGGCAUCUGAGUUUCCUCCAGCUCCCCACCUCCCAGGGGAGCUCAGCCAACCUCCUCUGCUCUCUCUAGUCCAGAUGAACUGGCCCUUUAAUACAGGUUUUUUAUUACAGAGAUGUGAUUGAAACAGAGUAGUGUGUCAAUGGCGAGGUCUUGGAGACUGUCCACUGCACAUAGACUUGCUUGCUUCCACUAGCUUGCAUGCCAUUUCUUUUUUCUCCCUCUCAUCCACACAUAAACACUCCCUCUCACAUCCAAGCAGUCGUGCCAGGCACAUGCCCUAUCUGGCACAGGCCUGCAUUCCUAUCACACCAUCCUGGGCCUCCUCGGGCUGCCCGGGGUGGGGGAGAUGUUCACAUUUGUACAGGCCCUGUAAAUUGGGUGGCACAAACAGCACCAGGUUCCAAAAGUCUUGGAAUCUCAUGGUUUGUUCCCACGGGGAUGACAGAGGCUCUGAGAGCCCUGCUUUCAGCUGAAGCACUGUGGCGGAAGUAGAUAGCAAUGCCCAUCUCUACUCUAAGAGUGGGAUCUGACCAGGAAGUUCUAGGGCCUCAGGUUAGCUUCUGCAGAGGAGUGGAGCCCCAUGUCCCCACCCGCCUGCCCUUUACAGACAGUUGACCGGUGGAGGAGGAGCCUUAGCCACUGUCCUCUAGAGUGGUCUUCAGAUCAAGCUCAUCUGCUGCCACUCCCAGCCUGAGUCAUUGGCAAAGCACUGCUCCUCCCCCGGGCCCUGCUGGGACCUAGAAGUGGGGAGCAGCAGAGGAACUAGACUGGACAUUUUGAAGGAGCUAGUGGCAAGAAGAAGACUCAGCACUUUCCAGGUGCCAUGUGGAUAGCCUAUCCGUACCCGACAGAUGCCUUCUGCCAACAGUGACUCAACACCUCUCCCAGGAUACACCUCAGGGAGUCUAGCCCUGUGAUUCUCUGUCCAUCUUGUGACCUAAGUCAUAAGUCACUCUAGCUGCUCUAGGUUCUGUAUUCUAUCCUGGGAGCCACUGGGUGUUAAGAACCCCCAGGCUCAUAGUGAGCUGUUGCUGUGUGUUCUCUGUGUGCUGUUACAGCAGAGGGUAAUUAUAAAGAUGGCAUUCACA